GACGAACGCUGGCGGCGUGCUUAACACAUGCAAGUCGAACGGAAAGGCCCUGCUUUUGUGGGGUGCUCGAGUGGCGAACGGGUGAGUAACACGUGAGUAACCUGCCCUUGACUUUGGGAUAACUUCAGGAAACUGGGGCUAAUACCGGAUAGGAGCUCCUGCUGCAUGGUGGGGGUUGGAAAGUUUCGGCGGUUGGGGAUGGACUCGCGGCUUAUCAGCUUGUUGGUGGGGUAGUGGCUUACCAAGGCUUUGACGGGUAGCCGGCCUGAGAGGGUGAACGGCCACCUUGGGACUGAGAUACGGCCCAGACUCCUACGGGAGGCAGCAGUGGGGAAUAUUGCACAAUGGGCGGAAGCCUGAUGCAGCAACGCCGCGUGCGGGAUGACGGCCUUCGGGUUGUAAACCGCUUUCGCCUGUGACGAAGCGUGAGUGACGGUAAUGGGUAAAGAAGCACCGGCUAACUACGUG
rnacentral:rRNA from 1 species